GUCCACGCCAUAAACGAUGUGUGUUCGUUGUCGGGAAUGAAUUUUCGGCGACUAAGCUAACGCAGUAAACACACCGCCUGGGGAGUACGGUCGCAAGAUUAAAACUCAAAGGAAUUGACGGGGACCCGCACAAGCGGUGGAACAUGUUGUUUAAUUCGUAGCAACGCGAAGAACCUUACCUACCCUUGACAUACCCAGUUUGGAUUUCAGAGAUGAUUUCCUUCAGUUCGGCUGGCUGGAGUACAGGUGCUGCAUGGCUGUCGU
rnacentral:rRNA from 1 species